GGGGAUGUAAUGGUUUCGACGGGGGAUAUGCGGUAGCCUGGGAAGCGAGCCAAGGUCGCGCCAGCUUGUAAAACGGUGCAUUUAAAAUUAAACGCUAAAAACAAUAAUUUAGCUUUAGCUGCGUAAUUGCAGUUAACUCUCUGCCUGCUGUGUCUGCGGUGCGGGACAGAGGGUCACUUUAGCAGACUACUGUUUCGCCAGUGCAGGGUAACGAAACAGGAACCUUACCCAGCUAGUCAGACUCUAUCCUGUUUAUGGGAGAUUGGCUGAUAAAAUAAAAACAUAAACUACGCUCGUAGAUGCCCGGGGUGUCGGUCUUUCGGACAGGGGUUCGACUCCCCUCAUCUCCA
rnacentral:sRNA from 1 species